rnacentral:rRNA from 1 species
UGGGGAAUUUUGGGCAAUGGGCGCAAGCCUGACCCAGCAACGCCGCGUGCGGGAAGACGGCCUUCGGGUUGUAAACCGCUUUCAGUUGGGACGAAGCUUCGCCGGUGAAUAGCCGGCCGGAGUGACGGUACCUUCAGAAGAAGCCCCGGCUAACUACGUUCCAGCAGCCGCGGUAAUACGUAGGGGGCAAGCGUUGUCCGGAAUCAUUGGGCGUAAAGCGCGUGUAGGCGGCUUGAUAAGUCUGCUCUGAAAGCCCGGGGCUCAACCCCGGGAGGCGGGUGGAUACUGUCAAGCUCGAGUCCGGAAGAGGAGUGUGGAAUUCCUGGUGUAGCGGUGAAAUGCGCAGAUAUCAGGAGGAACACCAAUGGCGAAGGCAGCACUCUGGGACGUGACUGACGCUGAGACGCGAAAGCGUGGGGAGCAAAC